rnacentral:rRNA from 1 species
AACGAACGCUGGCGGCAGGCUUAACACAUGCAAGUCGAACGCCCUCUUCGGAGGGAGUGGCAGACGGGUGAGUAACGCGUGGGAACCUACCCAGUAGUACGGAAUAACUCAGGGAAACUUGUGCUAAUACCGUAUACGCCCUACGGGGGAAAGAUUUAUCGCUAUUGGAUGGGCCCGCGUUGGAUUAGUUUGUUGGUGAGGUAACGGCUCACCAAGGCUACGAUCCAUAGCUGGUCUGAGAGGAUGAUCAGCCACACUGGGACUGAGACACGGCCCAGACUCCUACGGGAGGCAGCAGUGGGGAAUAUUGGACAAUGGGGGAAACCCUGAUCCAGCCAUGCCGCGUGAGUGAAGAAGGCCCUAGGGUUGUAAAGCUCUUUCGCUAGGGAAGAUAAUGACGGUACCUAGUAAAGAAGCCCCGGCUAACUUCGUGCCAGCCGCCGCCGUAAAAC